CCCCUAGAUGUUCUGGGCCGCACGCGCGCUACACUGAACAGUUCAACAAGUCUCAACCUUGGCCGAUAGGUCUGGGUAAUCUUUGAACGCUGUUCGUGAUUGGGAUAGACCUUUGCAAUUAUGGGUCUUCAACGAGGAAUUCCUAGUAAACGCAAGUCAUCAGCUUGCAUUGAUUACGUCCCUGCCCUUUGUACACACCGCCCGUCGCACCUACCGAUUGAAUGGUCCGGUGAAAUCUCGGGACGGCGGCUUGGUCGCUUGCGUCCGACUGCUGAAACUUGAUUAAACCAUAUCAUUUAGAGGAAGGUGAAGUCGUANCA
rnacentral:rRNA from 1 species